rnacentral:misc_RNA from 1 species
GUGAAUCAUCAAAUUUUUGAACGCAAAUUGCGCCUUUUUCGGAAGGCAUGUCUGUUUGAGGGCCCCAUUUAACAAAUAAUGUGCAUUUCGUGUGCACGCGUGGUUGAGCUUUCCAAAUUUAUGUAUUAUUAUUUUUGUUGGGGAAUAAUAAAAAGCGCGAUGUUUUUUUUAAGUUGGGGGGAAGAAAAAUUUUUUCUUGCUUGGGUUGUGAAAAGGGUGAUCGCGCAAUGGGUGUGGCGA